UGAAGGGAUCAUGCGACAUGGCAAUUGUGGCAACUAGCUGGUGAAUUUGUUGUCCCAAAUUUGAACACGUACUGGACCGAUGCAACUUGUGAAUAAUUUUUUCGUUUCUUGAUUCUUUCUUAUGCCUUUCCACGCAGAGUUGGGAAAACAAAGGUUGAAUAUGCUAUGAAGUCAACUCAAGAUGACAUGAGAGAAGCAACAGGUUGUUCUCUCCUCUUUUCUUUCUCCUUUUCCAGUUGCGUGGUUGGCAAUUAUAUACUAGACAUCUACUACUUGAGGUUGAUCUCAUUUUGGAACCUGGAAACUUUACCAUAUUUGUAUGGAGAGUGAACUGUUUUCGAAAUUUUUCUCACAAAAAUUCAUAUGGAUCGAUUUAUGAAUCUUACGCAGGCACCUAGCAUCGAAUACGUGUAACUCAAUUAUUUUAGGACACUUAUUAUGGUAUUCUUGUGUAGUUGUGUGAGGUGAUUUUGUCAACAAAACUGCACAAAGCCAUAUAUUUCCUCCAUUUCAUAAUGUUUAUCCGGUCCACGUACUUAGACUAACUCUGAACUUUUGCUCAUUAGAUAGAUCAAUGCAACAUCUAUCUGAUAAGAACAAGUGUGAUCCAGUUCCGUAAAAAACCUUCUCUUUUUUAGCUCACAACAUGUUCCUUGGGGGAUCUUUCUUACCCCUGUUUACCCCUGGGUACCCUAAAAUGGGCCGUCCUAUGUUUCUCAAGGAUGAGUCGUCGGGUUGGCUACGGUGCGGCACACAACACAGGGCGGCAUGCACUGCAAGACAUCAUGAAUAUCCCGGAGGUUAUGGGAUAUAUUCGAGUUGGUUAGGCUAGGGAAAGUACAAUGUUGUACGCCUUAUAACUGACUACAAGAUAGAUUCACUGACCUGUUACCCUACCCUCCAAAAACACAAGCAAUAUCAUACGCAAGCAAUACAAUCUAGCCAAACACAGGAUGUAGGUUACUACACCAUCUUGAUAUAUGGACCAAACCUGUCUAAACAUGUGUUCCUAUAUUCUUGUGUUGCCAUAAAGCUUAGGUUACAUGAUCU
rnacentral:lncRNA from 1 species